CAGCCGUAAACAAUGUGCGUUAGGUGUGUCGGUAACCACGCGUUACUGAUGCGCCGAAGGAGAAAUCGUGAAACGCACCACCUGGGAAGUACGGUCGCAAGGCUGAAACUUAAAGGAAUUGGCGGGGGAGCACCACAACAGGGUGGAGCCUGCGGUUUAAUUGGAUUCAACGCCGGACAUCUCACCGGAUAAGACAGCUAGAAUGAUUGUCAAUCUGAAGGUUUUACAUGACUAGCUGAGAGGAGGUGGCAUGGCGUCAGUGACU
rnacentral:rRNA from 1 species